rnacentral:ncRNA from 1 species
UACUCUGGAGAGUCUCAUAGAACGGGCGCCGAAGGUGUACGGUGACAGGAUAGUCACUAAUCUCUCAGGCAAAAGGACAGAGAA